AAAGAGAAGAGGCCGCAGACAGUGGCAGGUGGGGAGUUUGACUGGGGCGGUACACCUGUCACACCGUAACGCAGGUGUCCUAAGGCGAGCUCAGGGAGGACAGAAACCUCCCGUGAAGCAGAAGGGCAAAAGCUCGCAUGAUCUGUAUUUUCAGUAUGAAUACGGACCAUGAAAGCGGGGCCUCACGAUCCUUUUGACCUUUUGGGUUUUAAGCAGGAGGUCAUACACAAGGUCAC